UGUCCAGAGCAGCAUGGAAGACUAGUGAUUUUGUUGUUUUAUGUUGAAAAUCACAACAAAUCAUUGUCUUCCUCCCGGCCCUGAGACG
rnacentral:pre_miRNA from 1 species